AAAAAAAAGAAAGAAAUUGCAGCUGUUCCCAGUGUCCAAGUUUAUACGCAUUGACAAAAAAUCUUAUAAUUAAACGGAUGAUUAUGAAUUGAAUAAGAAUUUGCGCAAAAGAUAUUGAAAUAUACAUGUACUUUAAACUUAACGAGUUAGUUUAAAGACUUAAAAAAGGAUGCGUAGGGGGUGGUUUAAUUAAGCUUCAGCAUUAAUUUACAUUUUGAUUAAUUUUUUUUUUAUUUUUGUACGAAAUGAAAUUGAUAAUGAAACCAGUUUGGAUAUUAAGCCGCCAUUAAGCUGCAGCCUGGUGGUUUAUUGGCAGCUUAAAGUGUUUCCAUCCUCCUAAUGAUCUCAUAAUUUUUGUAAAAAAAACUAUUAAAUUCAAAUUCAUACCAAAUGCAACAAUAUCUUUUGAAAGAAUGUUUUUAUAGGGACAUUAAUAUGGAUCAGUAAUUUUCUAGGUUUAAAAACAUCCAGUUAUUUUGUUCUAAGCAGACUUUUAAGUAAAUCAGCAUCUUGAAGACCUGUAUCAUUAGAUUAACAGCCAAGCAAAACUAUUUUAGAAUAAAAAUGUUUUCCCGCAAUAUUGGAGGUCUGUGACAAAAACACUAUUUAUCACUGCAUAUCACUACAUAGUACACUGACUUGUAGCAAACUUUGAAAUUUUCAUUGUAUUAAUGCUUAAGCACAAGAACCACUAGACAAGCAAUGACUCUACUGUCAAGGUCUUUUUUUCAAAUUUACUCAAGAAAAUCGAAAGGAUAAAUAUAUCAUUGUUAUAAUAUUAAAUUGUAUAAAAUAAAGUUGUGAUUGGGCGAGCGGUUUUCAAAUGCAUUAACAAAGAUCUAAUAAAUAAAAAAAAUCAACAAAUAAAAAUUCUACCUCAUGACACGUAAUACUUGUUAUUCAUGUAAUUGCUCCAAUUAAUAUCUGUGUACUUUUUUUAUGUAAAGGAAUAGACUCUUUGGUUAACUUAAUAAGUGUUAUUUUCAAUUUAAUUGCCAAUAUUACUAUUCAUUGAUUCUAUAUAUUUUGAUUUCAAUUCUCAGCAUAUCAUUAUUAAUAUCAUUUAUUCAGAUGAAGGUGAUGAAAUUCGUCAUUUUGUUUGUGCUGACUUUUGUGCUCAUAGUCAUCGAAGCACAGAGUCACAAUGAAGACCCGAAUAUCGAGGAGUAUUGUUGUGCUCACACUUUUUUUCUUUUGUCAUCAAUGGUGUACCAGACCUUUAUUCACGUUUGAGAUUUCGAGUGCAUAAGGAGUUGAAAAUAUAAUCAUGGUACCUGUUACUGAGGAUAAAAGACACAUAUGAACCUCCAAAGGAUAUAUGUCAAGGAAAGAAUUGAAUAAUUAUAUUUGCUUAAUGUUAAUUACUAAUAAACAACAAUCAAUAUCCCCA